UUUCCCAUUUGACUACCACAUUUUCUCCUACUAAUAGACUUUGGUGGCUAUGCUUGUGGGAUAGAGUAAAAUUGCCAUGAUCUGAAGGGGAGGAUUUCUUUGUGUCCUCUUCCUAUAUGAAAUGGCUGAACAGCAAAAA
rnacentral:snoRNA from 10 species